AUCCGCCGAACUAGUGCGUAGAUUUAAACAAAUCCGAACACCACAUCAUAAGGAGGUUGGGUAUACAGUCCUCUGUGUUGAAUGCUCAAGUGAUUGAGAAUCCUAAUGAGGCUGUCGAAACUUCCACCUGCACAUAACGCGGGUUGAUGUUAAAGUCUACGGCUAGUUGGGCGUUUU
rnacentral:other from 1 species